AACGAACGCUGGCGGCAGGCUUAACACAUGCAAGUCGAACGCAUCCUUCGGGAUGAGUGGCAGACGGGUGAGUAACGCGUGGGAACGUGCCCUUCAGUUCGGAAUAACCCAGGGAAACUUGGGCUAAUACCGGAUACGUGCGAGAGCAGAAAGAUUGAUCGCUGAAGGAGCGGCCCGCGUCUGAUUAGCUAGUUGGUGAGGUAACGGCUCACCAAGGCGACGAUCAGUAGCUGGUCUGAGAGGAUGAUCAGCCACACUGGGACUGAGACACGGCCCAGACUCCUACGGGAGGCAGCAGUGGGGAAUAUUGGACAAAUGGGCGCAAGCCUGAUCCAGCCAUGCCGCGUGAGUGAUGAAGGCC
rnacentral:rRNA from 1 species